UAUUAUUGUCAUAAAUGAUAUAGUUAUUGUUGUCAUAAAUUGUUGUCAUAAAUAGUAUAAUUAUUGAAUAUACUUAUAUAAAUAGUGUUGCAUUGAUUUUUGACAGGCUGAUAAUUUUAUACAAGCUAAAGACGACCAUUUUUUAAAUAUAAUUUUACUUUAGUGCUCUACCAACAAUCAUAAAUUUACUUUAUCUACAAUAAAAUAUGGUUUUAACUUAAAGUAAACUUUUGUCAUUUAAACUUUACUAUGUUGAUCAUUACCUAAUAGUGUAAAAAAAAAAUUAGUACGUCGCAAUCAAGGAUCAGUGUCAAGUAAUGUGUUUUGCAUACUUAUGUAUUUUUUGGGUGUUCUGUGUAUUAAAACUGAAACAUAUCAUCUUUAUAUAAUAAUACGGAACUCAAUAGUAGUAGUUCCCUUUCGAGCACGUUUGACACAAAACCCAACGCAGCCAUUGCAACCGAGGUACUGGCGAGGAAGAGUCGCAGCACCUUUUUAUAAGAAAACAUUAACGAAAGUGUGUGCUAAUAACUAACUUACGUAAACUUCAAAAUGUGAAAUGUCAAAACAUACUAAAACAUGUAUCAAGUUUUUAAGUUUUACUUUCACUUGAAAACUGCAUUGCGGCAACAUCUUAAUUUUGAUCGAUGGUCGUUUUAUAAAAACUUUUAUUUACUAUAUAUUUUUAAAAUUUGUUCAAUCGUUCAUAGUGGCAUAGCUUAGUGGUCAGCUCGCUGGCAGCUGACCUGAAGAGCCAUGGUUCGAAUCCUACCUAUGGCAUGUUUUCUUUUUAAAUUCAUUUUCGAUUUUUCUAAAGUACGAAAUAAAGAUUAUGUAUAGAGAUUAUAUACUUAACAAAUGUAAAAAUAUUUUACACUUAAACAAACGAAA